rnacentral:sRNA from 2 species
GCACCAGCAAAAUCUGGUGUCGGGAUUGGCGUCCCGGAUUGAAAAGGCGACUACAGACGCGCCAGCGUCUUUUUU